rnacentral:tRNA from 4 species
GCCGGUGUAGCUCAGUUGGUAGAGCAACUGAUUCGUAAUCAGUAGGUCAUCGGUUCGACUCCGGUCACCGGCACCA